CAAUGCCGCGUGAGUGAAGAAGGCCUUCGGGUUGUAAAGCUCUUUUGUCAGGGAAGAAACGGGGAAGGCUAAUAUCUUUCUCUAAUGACGGUACCUGAAGAAUAAGCACCGGCUAACUACGUGCCAGCAGCCGCGGUAAUACGUAGGGUGCAAGCGUUAAUCGGAAUUACUGGGCGUAAAGCGUGCGCAGGCGGUUUUGUAAGACUGACGUGAAAUCCCCGGGCUCAACCUGGGAAUGGCGUUGGUGACUGCAAGGCUAGAGUUUGGCAGAGGGGGGUAGAAUUCCACGUGUAGCAGUGAAAUGCGUAGAUAUGUGGAGGAACACCGAUGGCGAAGGCAGCCCCCUGGGUCAAAACUGACGCUCAUGCACGAAAGCGUGGGGAGCAAACAGGAUUAGAUACCCUGGUAGUCCACGCCCUAAACGAUGUCUACUAGUUGUCGGGUCUUAAUUGACUUGGUAACGCAGCUAACGCGUGAAGUAGACCGCCUGGGGAGUACGGUCGCAAGAUUAAAACUCAAAGGAAUUGACGGGGACCCGCACAAGCGGUGGAUGAUGUGGAUUAAUUCGAUGCAACGCGAAAAACCUUACCUACCCUUGACAUGGCAGAAACCUCGGAGAGAUU
rnacentral:rRNA from 1 species